rnacentral:rRNA from 1 species
UACGUAGGCGGCAAGCGUUGUCCGGAAUUGCUGGGCGUAAAGCGCACGCAGGCGGAAUUGUAAGUCCGUUGUAAAAUUACAGAGGCUCAACCUCUGUCUGUCGGCGGAUACUGCAAAUCUAGAGUAUGUGAGAGGGAAGUGGAAUUCCUGGUGUAGCGGUGAAAUGCGUAGAUAUCAGGAGGAACACCGAUGGCGAAGGCAGGUCUCUGGGCCACUACUGACGCUGAGAAGCGAAAGACAUGGGGAGGCGAACA